UGGAUCCAGACCUUGAUUAUGGCUCAGGACGAACGCUGGCGGCGUGCCCAACACAUGCAAGUCGAACGGAACUUCUUUAAAGGAUUUCUUCGGAAUGAAUUUGAUUAAGUUUAGUGGCGGACGGGUGAGUAACGCGUGAGUAACCUGCCUCUAAGAGGGGAAUAACAUUCUGAAAAGAAUGCUAAUACCGCAUAACAUAUAUUUAUCGCAUGGUAGAUAUAUCAAAGAUUUAUCGCUUAGAGAUGGACUCGCGUCCGAUUAGUUAGUUGGUGAGGUAACGGCUCACCAAGACCGCGAUCGGUAGCCGGACUGAGAGGUUGAACGGCCACAUUGGGACUGAGACACGGCCCAGACUCCUACGGGAGGCAGCAGUGGGGGAUAUUGCGCAAUGGGGGAAACCCUGACGCAGCAACGCCGCGUGAAGGAUGAAGGUCUUCGGAUUGUAAACUUCUUUUAUUAAGGACGAAGAAAGUGACGGUACUUAAUGAAUAAGCUCCGGCUAACUACGUGCCAGCAGCCGCGGUAAUACGUAGGGAGCAAGCGUUGUCCGGAUUUACUGGGUGUAAAGGGUGCGUAGGCGGCUUUGCAAGUCAGAUGUGAAAUCUAUGGGCUCAACCCAUAGCCUGCAUCUGAAACUGCAGAGCUUGAGUGAAGUAGAGGCAGGCGGAAUUCCCCGUGUAGCGGUGAAAUGCGUAGAGAUGGGGAGGAACACCAGUGGCGAAGGCGGCCUGCUGGGCUUUAACUGACGCUGAGGCACGAAAGCGUGGGUAGCAAACAGGAUUAGAUACCCUGGUAGUCCACGCUGUAAACGAUGAUUACUAGGUGUGGGGGGUCUGACCCCUUCCGUGCCGGAGUUAACACAAUAAGUAAUCCACCUGGGGAGUACGGCCGCAAGGUUGCAACUCAAAGGAAUUGACGGA
rnacentral:rRNA from 1 species